rnacentral:rRNA from 1 species
CCUACGGUGGCAGCAGUGGGGAAUAUUGGACAAUGGGCGAAAGCCUGAUCCAGCCAUGCCGCGUGUGUGAAGAAGGCCUUCGGGUUGUAAAGCACUUUCAGUGGGGAAGAAAGCCUUGGGGCUAAUACCCUCGAGGAAGGACAUCACCCACAGAAGAAGCACCGGCUAACUCCGUGCCAGCAGCCGCGGUAAUACGGAGGGUGCGAGCGUUAAUCGGAAUUACUGGGCGUAAAGCGCGCGUAGGCGGUCUGAUAAGCCGGUUGUGAAAGCCCCGGGCUCAACCUGGGAACGGCAUCCGGAACUGUCAGGCUAGAGUGCAGGAGAGGGAGGUAGAAUUCCCGGUGUAGCGGUGAAAUGCGUAGAGAUCGGGAGGAAUACCAGUGGCGAAGGCGGCCUUCUGGACUGACACUGACGCUGAGGUGCGAAAGCGUGGGUAGCAAACAGGAUUAGAUACCCGAGUAGUC